rfam:Buchnera aphidicola str. APS (Acyrthosiphon pisum) genomic DNA, complete sequence.
GGAGAGGUGGCCGAGCGGUUUAAGGCAGCGGUCUUGAAAACCGCCGACGAGAAAUCGUCCGAGAGUUCGAAUCUCUCUCUCUCCG